rnacentral:lncRNA from 1 species
GUAGUUUUUAUUUUUUUAAUUUUUAUUUCAAUCUGUUCUGGUUUAUGUAUUUCAGUUGUUAUUAAAAUAAUGAAUAACCAUAAGUGGCCUAGUGGAGAAAGGGCAGUUUCACUUGCUUUAGUGGGAUGGGUUUGAUACUUGGGGAUAGCAAAUCUUCAUGUUUCUAUUUGUUAUGCUUACUAUUUUAUUUAACUUUUUUUUAUAUAACUUCUACUAUUUAUUUUACUUUUAUAUUUUAUUAAUUUAGUUUAGCCGUUAUUUAGUUGUUUAUAUUUUCAAAUGUUUACUAUUUAGAUUUAAUUAAUGAUUGACUUCCCGAUAUUGGGUUUUAUUCU